UAACAUUCAAAUAUAUUUGAGUUUAGAAAAAAAAAUCUAAUGAAAUGAGCUCUUCAAAUGUAAUUUUUAAGACCCAGUUGACUGCCUGAAUAGGUGAACACAGAGCAGAUGGAAAUCUCCUCAGCAACAUGUUGACAUUUCGGUAAAUUGAAUGCACAAGUUUAAUGAACACCCAGUUAGUUACUAUGAGUUAGUUACCAAAAACAGUUUUUUGCCCUCCCCACUAAUUUCAAUGUUUCCCAAGCAUUGAUUUAUUUGUGGCGGCCCACAACAAUAUAAACCUUGACUGACACAUAUGGAUUUUCUUUUUUACUAUUUAUAUUGUGUAAAUUCUUAUUUCUUUGUAGAAAAGCACUCUCCUUGACCGGCCCUCAGGUGGACCUGUCUGUACAGCACUCCUGUCCUUGCACACUCAGAGCUGGGCUGUGGAGCUUAGCACGCAGUACAUAGCUGCUAGUCAAUAUUAACUGGAGUGGAUAACGUUAAUGUUAAUUCUUGAACUGAAUUAACACUGAAUGGUCAACAGGCAACAGCUCUCUCAGAAAAAGGGGCCUAAUUUCUGUUCUUCACUGGAUUUAUUUUGUUAGUUGUUAGAAUGUGAAGCUAUUCAGUUGUGGUCUGUACACUGUAUCGUUCAGUUAUUUAUUUGUCACAAAGUACUUGGCACUUAAAUUUGUGGAGCGAAGAUAUCACUUAUUAAUUUAUUUUAAAGAUAGCCACCCCCAUAAACUUUCCAACAACACUCUGACAUGAUGACACAUUUUCUACAGAAGCACUUAAAAUAAAGUACUGCCCAUAUCAACUUUCUGAUGAUGAUUAUUCACUACACACACAAAAGUAACAAUACCUUGUAGAUCCUCGACCAGCAUUUCCUCUCUUGCUUCAACGUAGAUUUUGGCCAGUGGGGUUUUUCCCUGAGCAAGCUUGAGCACCUUCGGCACAACACUUGUGAACACCAGCAUAAGUUGACAGAUGAUGGAUGGAUCCUGUCAACCUCAUCGUACAACUGAAAAGUUGAUAGAAAGGGGACUUGACACUUGCGGCGACCACACAGCACCACCUCCUGUCACUCACAGCGCCGUCUACUAUUUUUAUCCCUGCCAGAGUUUCGAAAAGUCCUGCCCUACUGUGCUGUAAUUGGCUAGUACUCAUCACUUGUGAUUGGAUUCUGGCAAAGGAUACAAGCAAGCCCAUAUGAAAGUGACAUGAAACGUGCUAACAAAACCAAAUGAGCAAAGCACCUGCAGGACCGACACUCCGUCCUCUAUAAAGAACGUGGAGAGGUUGGAGACGUCUCUCCCCUUUCAACAUCACUAAAGUAAUAAACAAGAUGGCCCAGUAAACUGUUGUUGAUAAGAUAGUUGUCCUGUUGUUUGCCCAACAGACAUUUGUAACUCUCUAAUCUAAGCUAAUCCCCCUCAGAGCUAUCAGACCUGAGGAAUCUCAGACAGCAGAGAUUUAGUGUAUAAGAAAUACUUUGACCAAGGUAAAUUAACUGAUGCUGUUCUGCUUAACACACAGUAUUAUUAACUCUACUAACUAAGAUAAGUUGAUUAGAUAAUUUAGUAAUUUAAUUCAGAAAUGUAAUCAAUGUUGUGUCAAUUUUCCCCUGUGGUAUGGUAUCGAAUAUCAAUAUUUUUCAAAAUAUUGUACUGAAGUUCGAAAUGCCAGUAUUUUGACAACACUAAGUUCAAUAAAGUCCUUAUAUUGAUGUGUGCUUUGAAAA